CCUUGAUAGUGUAUUUACAAUAUUACCCUUAAUAUAUACAUCACGUGGGAGCCACUAUUAACAUGAUCACAUACCUUUGACACUUUGUUAAAAAAUUCAAUUAGAGAUGUUAUGUAUUGAACUCAGACCAAAGAUACAAUACAAAUAAAAAUAGUUACUGAAAAGCUAAAUUUUAAAACUUUUGGAGGUUCUGGGAGAUCAAUCCUAAUAAAAAAGAAACAAAAGAAAGAGUGCUAGAAGGUGAUAGAUAAUUGAGUCCUCGUUGUAUAGUAAUAUACAUUGUUUGUACCAUACUUGACCAAUCCCGAAACUACCGAGCACCGGCCAACGCUAUACUGUCAAGGACCCAGAAGAGUUCCCCUCCGACCAGGAGGCCAAUCACUACUCGACACGUGUCAAGAUUAGAAGCCAAUCAGAGCGCAGCACGUGUCGACAUCAAGAACCAAUCACAACAUGACACAUGUCAAUGUGACAAAGCUACAAGUUUUUCUAUAAAUAGGGGUCAUUCCCCCAUAAUAUUGCCUAAUGCCAUUUGUGUUAAAUCAUUCACAAGAACUCACUAAAUUGAGAGCUUGAUCCUUUGUACUUGUGUAAGCCCUUCACUACUAAUAAGAACUCCUCUACUCCGUGGACGUAGCCAAUCUGGGUGAACCACGUACAUCCUGUGUUUGCUUCUCUGUCUCUAUUCAUUUACGUACUUAUCCUCACUAGUGACCGAAGCAACCAAGCGAAGGUCACAAAACCUGACACUUUCUGUUGUACCAAAGUCUUCGCUGAUUUGUGUGCAUCAACAUUUGGCGCCGUCUGUGGGAAACGACACUUAUUCCUACUCUCUUCAGCUGUGUCAAGCUGGUUUCUAUCAUUCGUACACUUUCUUUUGAUCAGGCAUCCCUCUCCAGCAUGGGAAGCGAAGGAAGCCACAGCACACAGAAUGACACCCCCCUUGCACAUAGUGCGAAACAACGAAAGAAGGAAGGAAAACGAGUUCUUCUUCAAGCUAAAGUCGAUGAGUUGGAAGCUCAGAACAACAAGAUAGCAAUGAGGAAUGAGGUCCUCCAGGAGCAAUAUGAGAAGCUCUUCGAGACACUCCACGAAGCUAGGCAAGCUCAGACACGCGAGCUUGUUGCCCCCGUGGAAGUCAACCAUCAACUGGGUGCCCUCCAACAUGGAGGGUCACAUGCAUUCGACAUAGAUAUCCCUGAUAGGGAACAGAUUACCCCUCGACUUGAUAAUCAACAUGAGGCUUCUCUUAACCCAGUUGCUUCGACCCGAACCAUGAGAAGUGGAGGGAGACACCUCUUUACUGAAGGGGCAGAAGGAUCGAAAGCCGUCUUUCGCGAUUGUCGGGAUUUCCUGAAGCAACGUCGAGAGAAUUCCAUCCAUAUAAGCUCAAAGAUUAAUGACCCAAGGAUUUCUGAGAGACUCGGUCCCCUGCCACGGCCCAAGCCGGCCACCAAUUUGGGGAAGGGGCAACAAGUCCCAGAGAGACAUGAGGGUACAGGGGACUCAGAGGUGUUCCGACAGACAUACCCUGGAAGCCAGUACAGCGAGUCCAGGGAAAAAUCACAUGCCCUUGAUCAAAACCUUCCUAAUUCCAAGAGGAGAUGGAGAUUUACGAAAGAAAGCUCCAGUGACACAUAACUCCGCUCAGGACCCCCUUGUCCUACAACUUCUUGAGGAAGUAAACAAGUUGAAGGCUGAACGUCAGGCUGAAAUACCUGAUUGGAACCAACCCAGGCCUGACCCUCUUACAAGGAGGAUCCUCAACACCCCCCUUCAAGCAAAGACAAAGCAAAAGCUUGGCUUGCAACUUUAUACUGGAAAAAGGGACCCGAUUGAGCACCUUAACCUCUUUGAGUCCACCAUGGCAUAUUACCGGAUGCACACCGACGAAGAGCGAUGUCUUCUCUUCCCCUCCACCCUCUCUGGUGGAGCUCUAAAUUGGUAUUGUCGUCUUACACCUGAGACGGUAGACUCAUUUGAGGAAUUGAGGAAACUAUUUGUUUCCCAACACAUUUUCCAAACCGAUCGCUUGCACUCUGCAGAUGACUUGUACACUAUCCGCCAGAAGCCAGACGAGUCAUUACGUAUGUAUGCUGGCCGCUUCAGCCAUGAAUACUCCCGGUGUGCCGAGGCAGAUGACAAGACUGCCCUCAAAGCCUUCACGGCAGGCCUACGUGAUUGUUUCUUUAAAUACAUGAUCAAUGCCAAUACUUGGGAAGACUUACUCUGAGGUGAUGGCGCAGGCUUAUAACCAUGCCUCCGCCGAGGCAAAGACAUAUCAGGAGAAACCCCCUACAACCAUCCUUUAUCAACAAGUGGGAGGUGGAAGCCAGACUCACCUAAAUGAGAAGACCUCGACUUCCCAAACAGCAGUGGCACCUCCCCAUGCCUUGCAUAAUGCUUCACCGAAUCAACAGACAUAUCAAUUUCAAGGCAAGAGGAAGGAUUUCCAUCCUCACCACUCUCCUUUCAGUAAAAAGAGUAAGGGACACUAUCCCGAUAACCAAGGGUAUCGCCACAAUAACGCUCGCCCCCAGGCAGUCAAUGCAGUGGGUCAAACCCGCGUCAAGAUACCCCCUACCCCAAGGUAUGAGACAUACACGCCCUUGAAUGCCACAUGCGCGGCCAUUUACCCCAGCAUAGCUCACCUGAUACCAAAACCAAAGCCGAGGCACCCAGAUUACACGCCCCCGAAUAACGCGGGCACGUUUUUGUUGCUACUAUGAGCAUAACGGCCAUGAUAGCGAGAAAUGUAUCAUCCUCCGUGAUCGUAUUGAAGCUUUGGCACGAGAAGGAAAAAUUGAUCAAUUCCUUCUUCACCCUCAAAGGGAUAACCGUAACCAACGCCAGGUGAAUGUCAUAUAUUCCAUAAGCGGCGGCACACCCAUAUCUGAAUCUUCCAAUAGGGCCAUGAAAAACAGUGAACGAAGUCUGAGGCCUGGUCACCAAGUGUUUCACGUGGAAGACAUCAGGGGAGGGAAGUAUCAAAAACCUAACUGGGAUCCGAUAUGUUUCUACCCUGAGGAAGAAAGAGGCAUCAUCUACCCUCAUAACGACCCAUUGAUCGUGGAGGCUCACAUAGCCAACUUUGAUGUUCGACGAAUCCUCGUAGACACAGGGGCUUCGGUCAAUAUCAUGUUUGCCGAAGCUUUCAGGGCGCUCAGUGUAGCUGAACACUUGCUCGAUCGCUCGAUUUCUCCUCUGAUAAGCUUCUCCGGUGAUAUCGUUGCAACCCUUAGGGAGCAUACAUUUACCCUUUACUAUUGGUACAGGCCCUUACACGGCUACCAUUACCACUAACUUCCUAGUGGUUGACUGCCCAACGGCAUACAAUGUCAUCUUUGGGCGCACAGGCAUCAAUUGAUCUCAAGGCUAUGGUAUCCACGCAUAUGCUGUUGAUGAAAUUUCCAACCCCCCAUGGCAACGGCUACAUCAGAGGAGAUCAGCUUAGUGCACGAUCAUGUUACAACACUUCAGUUAAGCAACAACACUUGCCCGGACCCAAGGAAACCCUGUCUGUACAUGACCAAGUCACAAAGACCAGCCUAGAUGAAGCGAACUUGGAUCUUCCUGAUAGCAACAAUCAACCCGAUGAUCCUCGAGAUGACUCUUUCACCCAGCAAGCCCAACCUGCUGAAGAGUUGGAGAAGGUACCUAUCUCAAGAGAUUAUCCAGAUCGCAUGGUGAAGAUUGGCACCACAUUGUCACCACCCCUUCGGUUAGCAUUGAUAUCUUUUUUGAAAGAGAACACUGAAGUCUUCGCCUGGUCAUACGAGGACAUGCCAGGCAUCUCUCCCGAUGUCAUCUGUCAUCGUUUUGAGUAUUGACCCCAAGAUCAAGCCGGUGAGACAGAAGCGAAGAUCUUAUGACGCUGAACGAUACGAGGCAAUGAAAGCAGAAGUUGAAAAACUCAAAGGCAUAGGCUUUGUCCGCGAAGUCAAUUACCCGACAUGGGUAGCAAAUGUGGUCCUUGUUAAGAAAAAUCCGACCAAAGAAAGUCUUUUGCUUCAAAAGGUCUUGUGGAGAAUGUGUGUUGACUACACCGACCUAAACAAAGGGUGUCCGAAAGAUAGCUUCCCUCUUCCUCUUAUUGACAGACUUAUAGACUCUACGGCCGGGUGUGAACUCCUGAGCUUCAUGGAUGCUUACUCAGGAUACAACCAAAUCCUCAUGAAACCCUUCGGAUCAAGAACACACAGCCUUCACUACCGACAGAGGACUAUACUGCUAUAAAGUCAUGCCUUUCGGCCUAAAGAAUGCAGGAGCAACUUAUCAGAGACUAGUCAACUCAAUGUUCGCCGAGCAGAUUGGGAAGAGCAUGGAAGUUUACGUUAAUGAUAUGUUAGUCAAGAGCAAACAUGCUGACCAACACAUCACCAACCUAUCUGAAACUUUCACUAUUUUGAAGAGGUAUCGAAUGAGGUUAAACCCCAACAAAUGUGCCUUCGGCGUAGGCUCUGGCAAAUUCUUAGGUUUCAUGAUUAGCCAACGAGGCAUUGAAGCUAAUCCCGAGAAAAUCAAAGCAAUCCUCGACAUGAAGGAACCGGUAACUUCAAAGGACAUCCAGAGCCUUACUGGCAAGGUGGCAGCCUUAACCAGGUUCAUUUCUAAGGCCACAGACAAAUGUGCUCCCUUUUUUAAAGCACUUAAGGGAAGUAGGAAGUACAUUACAUGGACUGAUGAAUGUGCCGAGGCAUUCAAAAACCUCAAGGAGUACAUGAGUAAAGCCCCUCUACUCUCCAAGCCCGAGGUAGGAGACAUUCUCAUUAUCUACCUAUCGGUAUCAGCUUCAGCCGUAAGUUCCGUUCUCAUUCGAAAGGAUGGGAAUAUUGAGCGACCUGUCUACUAUGCUAGCAAAGCCCUACAAGAUGCGGAGACACGAUACUCCAACAUUGAGAAAUUAGCUCUAGCAUUGGUCAUGUCUGCUCGGAAACUUCGCCCUUAUUUCCAAGCACACGCCAUCAUCGUGCUUACCAAUCACCCUCUUCGACAGAUACUCCAGAGUCCUGACACGUCUGGGCGAAUGAUCAAAUGGGCGAUAGCAUUGGGUGAGUUUGACAUCUCCUACCAACCAAAACCAGCCGAAAAAGGUCAAGCAGUAGCAGAUUUCAUUGCCGACUUCACAUAUCCGGUUGACAUUGCUUCUACACCUGAAGCAGUGGCUUCAUUACCCCCGGAAGCUCAGAAGGUAGAAUUAACGACCUCAGCAUGGAGUCUGUAUGUUGAUGGCUCAUCCAACCAACAGGGCUGUGGAGCGGGACUAGUCUUGACUACGCCCGACAAAGUAGCAAUGGAGUAUGCUCUUCGUUUCAAAUUCAAGGCAUCAAACAAUGAGGCCGAGUAUGAAGCCCUUCUAGCAGGAUUACGUUUUGGCCAAACACCUCGGGGUUAAACAAAUUGAUAUUUUCAGUGACUCCCAAUUAGUGGUCAACCAGGUUACCAACAACUUUGAUGCUAAGGACAGCUCCAUGGCAGCAUAUCUUGCGCAAACACAACUUUUGCUCAAGCACUUCCACUACCAGAUCACCCAAGUUCCUCGAGCGGCAAACAGUCAUGCAGACGCCCUGGCUCGCCUCGCCUCAGCUGUGGAAGACAAGAUUGGAAGAAAAAUUCAUGUUGAACUGUUGGCAACACCAAGCACCAUGGCCGCAGAAGUAUGCAACUUACAACAGGGGAUAGUUGGAUCACCCCGAUCUAUAAUUUCCUUGCUCAUGGCACCCUCCCAAAUGAUAAAGUCCAGGCUAAGCAAAUUCGAUACAAGUCUUACCCGCUACCUGAUCAUCAAUGAUCAACUCUAUAAGCGAGAUUUUAGCCUGCCAUACUUAAGGUGUCUUACGCCUGCCGAGGCGGAAAUCGUCCUUCGGGAAAUACAUGAGGGAGUCUGUGGAGAUCAUGCUGGAUCUCGGUCCCUAGCACACACAAGACUUUUCGCCAAGGAUAUUACUGGCCAACACUCCACCAGGAUGCCAUCAAAGUAUCCCGCUCAUGUGACAAAUGUCAACGAUAUGCAACUAUUCCUCAUUCCCCUCCAGAGCCUCUUACUCCUAUGAUCAGCCCUUGGCCCUUCGCCCAGUGGGGACUUUGAUUUGAUCGGCCCAAUGCCGGCAGGGAAGGGCAAAGUCUGUUACGCAGUCGUUGCAGUGGACUACUUCACAAAGUGGGCCGAAGUAGAACCCUUGGCAACCAUUACUGAGGCAAAGAUAGAAGACUUCGUGUGGAAGAACAUCCUUUGUAGAUUCGGCAUUCCCAAUGCGAUAGUCACUGACAAUGGGCGACAGUUUGACAACAAGAAGUUCAGGUUGUUCUGCUCUAAGUUCAACAUCAUCAACUUAUGCUUUGCCUCUCCAGCUCAUCCCCAGUCUAAUGGACAAGUUGAGGCCAUCAACAAAAUAAUCAAGCGCACUUUGAAAACCAGCUUGGACAAAGCUAAAGGCUGUUGGCCAGAAUUUGUACCCCAAGUUCUUUGGUCAUAUCGCACUUCAUAUCGGACUUCAAUAGGAGAAACUCCAUUCUCACUUGCCUUUGGCACAGAGGCGGUUGUCCCUGUUGAGCUCGAGCAAGCAACAUUCCGAGUCCAGAACUACAUUCAAAGUGAAAAUGACAAACAACUCACCCUCAACUUGGAUUUAGUCGAGGAACACAGAAACCAAGCUCACUUGAGGAAUGUCGCCUACAAGCAGCGCAUCUCCAACUAUUAUGACUCUAGGGUCAAGCUUCGUUCUUUCAAAAUAGGAGACUGGGUCUUAAAGAAAAGAUUACUCUGCGACAGAGUCCCGAGUGAAGGCACACUUAGUCCAAACUGGGAUGGACCGUAUGAAGUCAUUGGCAUCAGUCGCCCUGGCUCUUACACACUUAGAAGCUCCGAUGGCAAGACCCUUGGCCAUCCAUGGAACGUUGAUCACUUGAAGUACUACUACAAAUAGACUCACGAUGUACAAGUGUUGAGCUAUAGCCGUUCGGCAUCCUAUGUAAUGAAGGUCAUUUGGCAAUGAAUUCAAUAAAGAGGUAAUUUAGCCAACUCAGCCCUCACUCUUUUACAUUCCUAGCAAGGGAACACUCAAGUGUUGAAAACCUCAAAGCAGAUAUAUCCAACACGAAACAAAAUCUAAGUAUGUGUCGACAAGACUAUACAAAGAAAGGAACAACCAAACAAUGGCUUAUAUCCAAACAAUAGAUCUAUUCAUACAUAGCCAAACAUGCAUUAAUAAUAGUGCAAACACUCAUAAACACCUAAAAUCCAAAACUCUCUCAAGCUUAUAACAUGGGCACAUGUGUUAUACACACAUCAGACUACUACAUCCAGAAUACAUGCAGAUAGUAAAGACACUGCUAUUCAUUCUCAUCUGAAGCCGAACCCCUGGCAGUAUCACUCCGCGUCCUACCAUCAUCCUCUGCAUCCCCAAGAUCCUCUUCACCAUGCUGAGUCUGUGCAUCAGCACUACCUUCAUUAUCAGACUCAUCUUCGCUGCUAGGAUCAACAGCAAGGACAAAUGUCUCGCCCUUUCGAUGAUGCUCAUCUAUAUCUUCGUGGUAUUUUUCGAAGAAUGCCCCAUCAUCAUAACGAUCAAGGACGGCCAUUCCAUUUCCUUUUUUCAAAGCGAGCUUCUUGAGCACAGUAGGGUUUAAUAGCAAGAUGAAAAGGUCGAAGAACUUAAGUAUUCUUGCACAGCAGCCUCCCUUUCAGUUGGAAUGCUCUUCUCCAGUUCAGAAAUCUCAACUAAGGCACCAUCCAAUUCUCCCCUAACCUUGGAUACUUCCAAGGUAGCCACCUCCAACUGUUUUUUAGUUGCCUCAAACAAUUUCUUAAGCCUUAGGUUCUCACCAUUUCGCCUUUUCAAGCUCUCCAUGGUUUCGUCCUUCAGUUGGAGAGCCUGAGUCAAAAGUCCCUUAUUCCUUCGGGCCUCGUCCACAAGCUGCUUAUUCUCCUUCAGUUUUGCCUUGUACCGCUCAACCUCUUGCAGUCUGUCGUGAUACUCGGCCAUGACCUGCAUGGCAAGACGAUCAUCACUACCUAAAUAAGAUAAUAAAGAGGAAAAAGUAAGGAAAUGACAAAGUAACACUCACAUAUGAAGACAGCUUCAACAUCCGGUCGCAAUCCGAUUCAUCCUUAGCUAAGGGCUCUCCGAGCUCAUCGAAGGCGAAUCGACGCCCUGCCAAGCAAUUGUUGAUAUCCCCAAAAUCCUUUGGCCGCGUGGCAACCCUCAAGUCCUUCCACGGGACACUGCCAACUCUUUCCUUGCCUUUCCCCUCAUGGCGGGAACCAGGAUCACUUUCCUGGACAGUGUGCUCCAUAGUAAGAGGAUGAGGCAACAGUCGGCUCCCUUCUCCUGCAACUACGGCAGCAGCAUUUUCAACGGCCUCGACUCCAGUCUUCCUAAAGGCAGGCCCCUUAAGGACCCCAUCUUGGGACUUAGGUCUAACGGAUGGUUCCCCUCGGAACUUAUGAAUUUUCUUAUGCGGUAGGAUGUCUUCCGAAGGAACUAACACUGGUGCUUUCCUUUUAUGGGUGUUAGUCCCUGUUUUCUUGCUUACCUUCUCCACUGCAUAAGGAAAAUCAAAAAAUAAGAAAUACAAACUUUCCAAAUAAAGUAAGGAAUUGAGCUAAGUUUACAUGAAGGAUACAACUUACUCGAUCGUCCCUGGCUCUCGGAAACUAAGGGUUGGAAACCGUACCGACGAAAAUAAGGGUCGUAGCUUGCUUAAGUGUCUAUCCUCUUUGGGCACCCUCAACACCUUCUCUAUGUCAGAUAGCUCCUGCCCAAACAGUUGGAUGGUGCCCCGCGUCACUACAUGAAGCAAAGUGUUAGAAGCAAGAAAAGACCACAACAAAUAGCAAAUAGUACGAACGGUUGAUACGUUACAACCUACAGUCUGGAAGUGAGUAAGCACACGUCGCUCAAGCGUGACACCCUUAUCAUACUCCCAAUCAUUAUACAGAAAGCACCAACGGUUUUUCCAUGUGUAGUAUGCCUUUUUCUUACCAUACACAAUACGCUCUCUCUCACUCCGACAUGCACACUCGGCAUAAACCAGUGCAUGAUUUUUGCUGGGCGCAUCUUGUAACAGUAACGCAACUGAUGGAAGGAAGGCUCACACAACCCACACUCCAUCCAAAUGAUAUAAAAUCCAAUCAAAGUAUCCCAGAAACCAGGAUUGAGUUGCCCAGGUGCAUAUCCGAUCAAAGAUAACAUCUUUUGCAACCACGGAUGUAAAGGUAGUCUCACCCCUAAAGUCAGUAAUAUCUGGGUGUAGAACAUAACAUGACCCUGGGAGGCUCAGAAGGCCAUUCUUCAUCAUGUACCAAACGUAUCCCUACACUACGAGGGAUAUUACAUGACUGCCUUAGCGCCUCAACCUGCUUCUCAUUAUCUAACAAGUUAUUCUUUAGAUGGUCUGCUGUGAACUCAGAGCGAACUAUGCGUAUGGCAUCAAAAACAACCCCCUCACCCAACGCCAUGGAGGAAGAACUAGCAAUAGCUAAAGUUUGACGGUUGGGAAGAUCAUCCAAUGUUUCUCUAGUACCGGACUCUAACAAAGACCCUGAAGACUCCGACAUUGCAGACUCAGACUUAGAGCUAAAGCUAGAAGAGCCCUCAUCACUAGAACUUCCAGGCUCUGACAUCUACAAUAAGAAGAAACAAAUUCUAUCACUACAUGCAUGAUCAAAACAUAAGGAAGUUCCUAUAUUACCCACAUGAAGAUGGUGCAAAGCGAUUCCGGAACCCUUCUCAAUCAGAAAGCAAUCCGUCUUCCACAGUCACUACAAAACAAGCAAAUGAAGACCGUGUCAAGCGCCAAAAAAAAAAAAAAAAAAAAAAAAAAAAAAAAAAAACAGCUUCAUCCAAAAAGCUUCACCCGAAAAGCUUCACCUCCAAAGCUUCACCCACAAAGCUUCACCUAAAAAGCUUCACCCACAAAGCUUCACCCAAAAAAGCUUCACCCGAAAAGCUUCACCUCCAAAGCUUCACAAGGGCCCAAAGCUUCACUUAAAAAAGCUUCAUCUACAAAGCUUCACCUAAAAAAGCUUCACCUAGAAAGCUUCAUCUACAUACUUUCACCAUCAAAGCUUCACCAUCAAAGCUUCACCUAGAAAGCUUCAUCUACAAAGCUUCAUCUACAAAGCUUCACCAUCAAAGCUUCACCUAGAAAGCUUCAACACCAACGCCUCACCUACAAAGCUUCAACACAAAACCUUGCUCCAAAUAAACAAAUUUUGUUCACAAAACCUAAACAUUUUUUGUUUUACACCCACAAGGGCCCAAAAUCUUCCUUCUUAUUUAUUCACUUAUAUAUGUUCCCAAACAUAUUAUGAUAGAUCAAAUAAUAAUUCAAAGUCCAAAAUUUAGUUAUGGACAAAAAUACAAGCAAUUCACCAGUACUGAAGUUGCUACAAAAAACUGGAAUCUUCCCCAGCCUAGAAAUCCAACAAAGCUUCGCCUCCUUUUCUCUAUCAAAUUUUUGCAGCUGCUGCUUCUCUCCAAUGGAGCUGAAUUUUGGACACCCUCUAGUUCUUGAGCAGAUGAACAACUUUCAAGAAGGAACCAUUUCUGUUUGAGCCACGGAAAUUAAAGUGUUGAAGCUCCAAGCAUGACAGUCGGAUUCUUGCAGAUUUCGAAGCUGCUGUGAUGUUUCGAAGAUCUGGAAAUAUUUAAACCAUUAGUUCAUUCUGAAUUUUUGAUAUGUUAUGAAAGAGACGAUGAGGAACAACUUCAAUGAAGAAAGCAUGCUGAUCUGAACAAUAGAAAAUGGAGUUUCGAAGCUCACAACAAAUCUGAUGGGUUGACAGAAAAAAUAAUAACCAGUCAUUCAUCAUACCUGAAUUUCUUGAGUUAUACAGCUCCGAGGGAUCUCAAUUUUGGAUAUGUUGUAGUUCACAAGUUAAGGAACAACUUCGCUGAAGAAAGUAUGUUGAUCUAAGCAAGAGAAAAUGGAGUUUUUGAAGCUCACAACAGGUCUGACGUGUUGACAGACAAAUGAUGAACAAUCACUCGUCGUACCUGAAUUUCUAGAGUUGUACUGAUCUGAUGGCUCUCAAAUUUGGAUAUGUUGUAGUUAAGGAAUUAAAGAACAACUUUCAUGAAGACAACUUUGUGAUUCGAGCUACAGCUGAUGGUCUUAUAUUGAAAACCAAUUCAGGUUGUUAGGGGAAAUGAAAACCAAUUCCACCAAAGAAACAUCAUUAUGAUGUUUCAUCAUUAUGGUGUUUUCAUCAUUAUGAUGCUUUCAUCAUUGUGAUGCUUCCAUCAUUGUGAUGCUUCCAUCAUUGUGAUGCUUCCAUUAUGAUUGUAAUGCACCAACGGUUACACCCUCUAUCAUAGCAGUAUGUGUGUGUAUCUCCCUAUAGUCAUCAUGUGCAAGACUAUCGUAGUCAGAUGGCUUUCCAUAAAACAGCUACCAACCGUUACACCUUCUGCAAUUCCACUUAUUCGGGCCUAGCAACCUUCAUAAACAAAAUAUAUGAAGAAAAAGUCCGGGGCUACCACUUAGAAAACAAAAGAAUGAAGUUUUGGUACUUACGACAUGGACUAUUAGCAAGACACCUCAUUCGUCAACUCCCUCGACUAGAGACUUGGGGGACUCCCACCAUAUGCUACUACGCCUUGGUACUCAAAAGUUCGUGACUACUCAGUGACUUGGAUUUUUUCAAGUCUCCAACCGAGAAGUUUUCCUCACUCGGGAAAUUAAGGGAACACUACCUCAAACUACAUGCUUCACUCACAAAGCUUUCAACAAUACAGGUUUCAACAAAAGCAAAAAUUCAAAGAACUUUAUGAAGAAGGCUUUGGUGUAUUUAACACAAUAUGUUGAAAUGAAGCAAAGCUUAUUUAUUAAUAUUUUCGAUAAGCCACAAAUAUGUACAUAUACAUGAGUCAAAAUAAACAAACAAAAGGGAGCCUUCACAAAGGUUGCUUAGGGGAAGUCUCAGCAGUCGGUAGAGCCCCAGAAAGAGAAAGCACCGGAGGGUGGUUAUCCGGAGCCUCAGUACUUGACAAAACCCCAGAAGGAGGAGGCAUUGGGAGGUUCAUCAUUUGAAGCUUCAUUACCAGGUACAACCCUAGAGGACGAAGGCAAUAAAUGCCUUUGGAACAAACCCACAAACCGCUGAUGAUCAAGUAAAACCUUACCAUCAGAUUCCUUCAUCUGGUCAAGCUUCCUCUUCAUGUUUGUAGCAUAGUCAUGGGCGAGCCGGUGCAACUGCUUAUUCUCAUGCUUGAGCCCUCUAAUCUCCUGUUUAAGACUCAUCACUUCAGCAGCCAAUGAUUCAACUUGGCGGGUUCUAGCAAAUAGGCGUUGGGCCAUAUUAGACACAGAACCUGCACACUAAACACUAAGAGCCAGAGAGUCCUUAACAGCCAAUUCAUCAGACCGUUUGGAAAGUAGUCUGUUAUCUUUGGGAGUGAGAAGGUUCCUGGCCACCACUGCAGCGGUCAUAUCAUUCUUCAUCACAGAAUCCCCAACGGUAAGAGGACCAGUAGGGGAUAUGAAGGAUGGGCGCCAUAUGUUGUCUGGAGAAGGCGUGGCUGUCUCUUCUCCAAGGUUCAAGUCAAAACGACGGUCGGAGGGUCCAGACAUUUUCAAAUGUGUUGAAGAAGGAAGAGGUCAGACAAAUCAAGAUCUUAGAAGUGCAAGAAAUGAGCUUCUACUGGUAGAGAUUCAAGUGUGCUGUGGAACUUAAUGCCAGCCUCUAUAAAAAUCUGCACUCGACGGAGCUUCAGAAAUCGAAGAGGCGUUUGCUUUCUUCUCAAAAGCUGGGCUGCUCAGAGACCACGAGGGCCGAUCUCAGAAAUCGAAGAAGCACCUGCUUUUUCAGCCUCGUCAGCACCUGUCACAUGCACACUCAGCUUUGCGGAAAUUACGGGCAAUCUGUCGAAGAUUUCUGGUGAAGUAGAAAGCACGUGAAUCUUACUGUUCAAUCACCGCUCUCCAUAUGCACCAUCAACUCCUCGGGUACCACAUAUAACUUUGUCAAAGAUCUCUGACAAAGUUUAGGCACGAGAAUUUCGAAGUUCCAGCUACCCUACUAUUACCCAUAAGGGUAAAGGAACAGCACCACUGCUUGACAACUGGAAAGUCCCUAUGUGUGUCGACCUCCGUGUUUUGCGGCAAGACAGAUUGGCAAGAACGUCCAACCUUUACUCACAUUCGAGAAAAGACUCCCAACAUAAUUACUUUCUCAAAAAACCGGAGUAGCACCGCUUUCCGAAUCUCGAGAGUCAGAUCCCUCGACGGGAUUGCUUGUUCGAAAACCGAAGAGGCACAACUCUCAGAACUUCGAGAGCCAGAUUUCCUUAGAUAAAGCUUGUCUGUAAUCUUCACACGUAAUAUCAGCUUUCCAGAUACCACAUACCACUUUUUCAAAGUGCUCUGACAAAAUUAAAACACGUGAAGCUGGCAGCUCCCACUACAUUGCUGUGACCAAGAAGGGUAAAGGAAUAGCAUUACUACUUGUUAUUGGGAAAUCCCUAUAUACAUCGACCUCCCUCCUCAACGGACAGGCAAACCUGCAAAAAUGCUCAACCCUUUCUCGCAUUCGAAAAGACACCCUCAACAUAACCUCUCGAAAUACUCAGCUUUAUUUCCCCCGAUAAUACCUCAGCAAAUAAGCCACACCAAGAACAAGAGUAUCUCAUAUCAUCAGGGUCGAAAGCAAGAGUAUCCCCAUAUCAUGCUUUCUCCCUGUCUUUGUCUUUGUCCUUGUCCACACCUGCAGGACAAGGAGAAAGAGAGCAGUCAGUCGGAACCUGAAAUCAAACCUCCAAUUUGGAACUGACUGCCUGGAGCCUUUGCCUGGUCGCUUACUUAGCAUUGCUCUCGAGUACUCAUCCUCAACUGCUGUCAAGGUCACGAAUUCCACCGGCAAAUACCUCAUGACAGUUGAUCAGAUAUUGGCUCUUUACACUGAAGCUGCCAAGCGUGAAUGAGUUACUAUGAAGGAAUGUUCUGAAGGACCAUUUAAAUGCAAAGGUUGCACACCACUUCUGCCAUGCAAAAGAUUGAAGCAGAAGGUUCAACGGUGGGCUGAAACAGAUCACUACAGCACGACACCUUUCCAUACCACAUUCAUUAUUCCGUCAACAGCAAUAGUAUCCCAUAUCAUCAAGGUCGAACGUACUCUAGAUUUGAUGGACUUUGUUUUGACCCUCAAAUUUUUGAGUCGGCCUUAUACUCUGAAGGGCACCAGAAAACCCUCCAGCACAGUUCAAGAAUAAGCCUGUGGAAAGUUACUUCUUCAAAAGCAAAAGUAUCUCAUAUCAUCUCUUAUCCAUUUGUUUCUCCUUAUCCUGGCAGUUGAAUGAGAGACAAGGAGAAUGAGAACAAUCAACCGGAAGCCGAGUCAAACCUCUGCUCCUGGGUUGCUUACUUGGAAGUUUGACUGCUUACCUUGUCUGUCACCUCUUUCGGCAGAUCUCCUAGCUCUGGGGGACUUGACUUGGGGACUCCUACUAUAGGGUUUGUAUUGCACUUGACCAAGCCCGAAACUACAAGUAAGCUUCAAGUGAAAUUGAUACAUUACCUUGUGCGUCAACAUCAGCUAAAUACACCAUUCCCGGAUGGAGGAAAGGUACUUCUUCCAGAGAAAGGCAGAUGAAGAUCAGACCACACUUCGGUACUUAGAAGUUUCGUGAUUACUCAAGGGAUUGGAUCUUGCAAGUCCCCAACCGAGGAGUUUCCCUCACUCGGGAACUUAGGGGAGCACUGUUUGUACCAUACUUGACCAAAAACUACCGAGCACCGGCCAACGCUAUACUGUCAAGGACCCAGAAGAGUUCCCCUCCGACCAGGAGGCCAAUCACUACUCGACACGUGUCAAGAUUAGAAGCCAAUCAGAGCGCAGCACGUGUCGACAUCAAGAACCAAUCACAACAUGACACAUGUCAAUGUGACAAAGCUACAAGUUUUUCUAUAAAUAGGGGUCAUUCCCCCAUAAUAUUGCCUAAUGCCAUUUGUGUUAAAUCAUUCACAAGAACUCACUAAAUUGAGAGCUUGAUCCUUUGUACUUGUGUAAGCCCUUCACUACUAAUAAGAACUCCUCUACUCCGUGGACGUAGCCAAUCUGGGUGAACCACGUACAUCCUGUGUUUGCUUCUCUGUCUCUAUUCAUUUACGUACUUAUCCUCACUAGUGACCGAAGCAACCAAGCGAAUGUCACAAAACCUGACACUUUCUGUUGUACCAAAGUCUUCGCUGAUUUUGUGCAUCAACAUACAUUAUUCAUCCACCAAUUUUACUUACGUCCAAAGCAAGCAAAACAAGAUAGAAGUGUUCACCAAAAAAAACAAAAUAGAAGUUCAUACUACUAAAAAAAUGUAUAAACAAAUACUCCCCGCCCCAACUUCCCUUAACUGUAGAU
rnacentral:lncRNA from 1 species